UGGGGAAUAUUGCACAAUGGGCGCAAGCCUGAUGCAGCCAUGCCGCGUGUGUGAAGAAGGCCUUCGGUUGUAAAGCACUUUCAGCGAGGAGGAAGGUGGUGGACUUAAUACGUUCAUCAAUUGACGUUACUCGCAGAAGAAGCACCGGCUAACUCCGUGCCAGCAGCCGCGGUAAUACGGAGGGUGCAAGCGUUAAUCGGAAUUACUGGGCGUAAAGCGCACGCAGGCGGUUUGUUAAGUCAGAUGUGAAAUCCCCGGGCUCAACCUGGGAACUGCAUUUGAAACUGGCAAGCUAGAGUCUCGUAGAGGGGGGCUAGAAUUCCAGGUGUAGCGGUGAAAUGCGUAGAGAUCUGGAGGAAUACCGGUGGCGAAGGCGGCCCCCUGGACGAAGACUGACGCUCAGGUGCG
rnacentral:rRNA from 1 species